rnacentral:rRNA from 1 species
CCGAGAUAGACUAGGAGAGCAUCCUAAGGCGCUCGGGUGAGCCGCGGUUAAGGAAUUCGGCAAAAUUGUUCUGUAACUUCGGGAUAAAGAACCCCUACUUCGGUAGGGCGCAGUGAAAUGGCCCAGGCGACUGUUUAACAAAAACACAGGACUCUGCUAAAUCGUAAGAUGAAGUAUAGGGUCUGACUCCUGCCCGGUGCUGGAAGGUUAAGGAAGGUGGUCAGCGUAAGCGAAGCUACCGACUGAAGCCCCAGUAAACGGCGGCCGUAACGAUAACGGUCCUAAGGUAGCGAAAUUCCUUGUCGGGUAAGUUCCGACCUGCACGAAUGGAGUAACGAUCUGGGCACUGUCUCAACCGCGAGCCCGGUGAAAUUGAAGUAUCGGUGAAGAUGCCGAUUACCCGCAACGGGACGGAAAGACCCCAUGCACCUUCACUACAACUUAACACUGAAUUUGAUUAAAUGAUGUGUAGGAUAGGUGGGAGACUUUGAAGCGGUGGCGCCAGCCAUCGUGGAGUCAACCUUGAAAUACCACCCUUCCUUUGAUUAGAUUCUAACUCCCGAUAAAGAGGACAAUGUUUGGUGGGUAGUUUGACUGGGGUGGUCGCCUCCCAAAAAGUAACGGAGGCUUCCAAAGGUACGUUCAACACGCUUAGUAACCGUGUGUAGAGUGCAUUGGCACAAACGUGCUUGACUGUAAGACAAACAAGUCGAGCAGGGACGAAAGUCGGGCAAAGUGAUCCGGUGGUUCCAUAUGGAAGGGCCAUCGCUCAUAGGAUAAAAGGUACGCUGGGAUAACAGGCUGAUCUCCCCCAAGAGCUCACAUCGACGGGGAGGUUUGGCACCUCGAUGUCGGCUCGUCACAUCCUGGGGCUGGAGAAGGUCCCAAGGGUUGAGCUGUUCGCUCAUUAAAGUGGCACGCGAGCUGGGUUCAGAACGUCGCAAGACAGUUCGGUCCCUAUCUGUUGCGGGCGUUAGAAAUUUGAGGAGAGCUGACUCUAGUACGAGAGGACCGUGUCGGACGAACCUCUGGUGUACCUGUUGUGGCGCCAGCUGCAUUGCAGGGUAGCUAUGUUCGGAAUGGAUAAGCACUGAAAGCAUCUAAGUGCGAAGCCAACUCCAAGAUGAGAUUUCUUUUAAGGGUCGUAGAAGAUUACUACGUUGAUAGGUCGCAGGUGUAAAGGUGGUGACAUCAAAGCCGAGCGAUACUAAUUGCCCGUUUACUUUC